rnacentral:rRNA from 1 species
GACAGAGGGUGCAAACGUUGUUCGGAAUUACUGGGCGUAAAGCGCGUGUAGGCUGCUUGGAAAGUCGGAUGUGAAAGCCCUGGGCUCAACCUAGGAAGUGCAUUCGAAACUUCCAGCUGGAGUGCUGGAGAGGAAGGCGGAAUUCUCGGUGUAGAGGUGAAAUUCGUAGAUAUCGAGAGGAACACCUGCGGCGAAGGCGGGUUGCUGGGCUGACACUGACGCUGAGGCGCGAAAGCUAGGGGAGCGAACGGG